GCUGUGGUUCUUAAUUUCAAAGUGAAGAAAUUAAAUGAAACGUGGAUAAACGGCAGGAGUAACUAUGACUCUAUUGGUAGACAAAUGCCUAGUCAACUAAUUAGUGACGCGCAGGAAU
rnacentral:ncRNA from 1 species